GACGGUUAUGCGAUCGCGGGGACGGAGAGAAACCGUUCAUGAGGAAAGUCCGGGCUUUUUAGAAACAGGGUGCCGGAGCAACACCGGUGAGGGCGACCUUAAGGAAAGUGCAACAGAAAUAAACCGCCUUUUAUAGGUAAGGAUGGAAAGGCAGGGUAAGAGCCUACCGCCCCUUCGGUAACGAAGGGGGCAAAUGUAAACCCCACCCGAAGCAAGAUUGACAAACCGUUUCAAUAGGGAGUUUCACCGAAGCGGUUUAUAAAACAUCGCUGGGGGACGCAGGAGACUGCGUUCGUAGAUAAAUGAUCGCACAAGACAGAACUCGGCUUAUCGACCGUCUUA
rnacentral:RNase_P_RNA from 1 species